rnacentral:rRNA from 1 species
AACGAACGCUGGCGGCAUGCCUAACACAUGCAAGUCGAACGCCAUGGCUUCGGCCAUGGAGUGGCGCACGGGUGAGUAACGCGUGGGAACCUGCCCAGCAGUAUGGGACAACCGCGGGAAACUGCGGCUAAUACCGUAUACGCCCGUCUUUGGGAGACCAGGGGCGGGGAAAUAUUGAUCGCUGUUGGAGGGGCCCGCGUCGGAUUAGGUAGUUGGUGGGGUAAAGGCCUACCAAGCCUGCGAUCCGUAGCUGGUCUGAGAGGAUGAUCAGCCACACUGGGACUGAGACACGGCGCAGAAUCCUACGGGAGGCAGCAGUGGGGAAUAUUGGACAAUGGGCGCAAGCCUGAUCCAGCAAUGCCGCGUGAGUGAUGAAGGCCUUAGGGUUGUAAAGCUCUUUCACACGCGACGAUGAUGACGGUAGCGUGAGAAGAAGCCCCGGCUAACUCCGUGCCAGCAGCCGCGGUAA